UACGAAGGGGGCUAGCGUUGUUCGGAAUUACUGGGCGUAAAGCGUGCGUAGGCGGUUGGCUAAGUCAGAUGUGAAAGCCCUGGGCUCAACCUGGGAAUGGCAUUUGAAACUGGCUGGCUAGAGUGUGAUAGAGGAUGGCGGAAUUCCCGGUGUAGCGGUGAAAUGCGUAGAGAUCGGGAGGAACAUCCGUGGCGAAGGCGGCCAUCUGGAUCAACACUGACGCUGAGGCACGAAAGCGUGGGGAGCAAACAGG
rnacentral:rRNA from 1 species